GCGCUGGUCUCCUGGCUGCUGGAUUCGGUUCCGGUUCCCAGCAAAGCAGAGGCCUGUGGAUUGCUACCCUUUCUGUAAUUCUGGUACGGAUCUAGGACCUGCCUUACUGCCACAACUGCAGCACCUGCUGGCCAACCAAGGUUAUUACACCUACAACACUUUUCUGAAAAUUAUAACGGAGUUUGCAGGAAGAAGAUGGAGCCCCACAACAAUGAUUCCACCUGGUCGAUAUGAUGUCAUUAUGCUGAUAGCACUUCUUUAAGAUCGGUUUUGGGUUACAAACUGCUCAAGAUGAUUCCAAUUUGGCUAGCUGAGAUGAUGCACCUUCUUACAACGUUCUGGCCAGAACUUCAGAUAAGAACUCAGAAAAGCUCUACCAACUACUCUGGAACUAUUUGUAAUUAUACAAAGCAGCAGUCUUGAAACUUAACUAUCAUUUUAGUUUUACAGGAUCCCAUAGAAAUAACAUCUCCUCCAUGACAGCUGGAAGUAAUUCUAGAAGACAACAUCCCCUCUCCCAAUAAAGUUUGUCCUCAAGGUUAGGGAUAUUUAUUAGCGGUUGGUUAGAAGUAGUAUGGGGUUGGAGGUGGAAAUGAAGUAAGCUCGGGGAUCUCUUUUGAUUUUAACAAAAAGAGGGAAAUUGGAUGGGAUGGGACAAUAGGUAGAUGAGAUUAUUACUUAUGAGCCAUUAUUUAUAGACAAUUUACAUUGGUAUAGAUUCUUGUAUA